CUCCAGCUCACUUCCUUGGUUCUGCCUCCGGCCACAAGCAUGGACGGAAGGAGGUGCUUGAGGCCUGUCCCCAGCUGUCAUCCCCACCCGGCUCCCACCUCCCACCACCUGCCUACAGUAUCAGAGAGACCGGGGCAGAGAGGGAAGGACGUCAGAGGACAAUGGGGAGCAAGGUGGAGCAAGGACGUCUGGAGAGGUGGUUCACUUGGGAGGACAAAAGGAAUCUGUUUGGAUUUGGAAUACAAGCCUUGUCUGGAAUCUGGAAAUGCCCCAUAAGACCUGGAGCUGAGAAUGUUAACAGAUCUUAUCAACAGGACACUGGAGAUAGACAGCUAUGAUGCAGC